UGAGUAAUGUCUGGGAAACUGCCCGAUGGAGGGGGAUAACUACUGGAAACGGUAGCUAAUACCGCAUAACGUCGCAAGACCAAAGUGGGGGACCUUCGGGCCUCACACCAUCGGAUGUGCCCAGAUGGGAUUAGCUAGUAGGUGGGGUAACGGCUCACCUAGGCGACGAUCCCUAGCUGGUCUGAGAGGAUGACCAGCCACACUGGAACUGAGACACGGUCCAGACUCCUACGGGAGGCAGCAGUGGGGAAUAUUGCACAAUGGGCGCAAGCCUGAUGCAGCCAUGCCGCGUGUAUGAAGAAGGCCUUCGGGUUGUAAAGUACUUUCAGCGGGGAGGAAGGCGAUGC
rnacentral:rRNA from 1 species